rnacentral:rRNA from 1 species
ACGAACGCUGGCGGCGUGCUUAACACAUGCAAGUCGAACGGAAAGGCCCUUCGGGGUACUCGAGUGGCGAACGGGUGAGUAACACGUGGGGGAUCUGCCCUGCACUUUGGGAUAAGCCUGGGAAACUGGGUCUAAUACCGAAUAUGACCAUGCACUUCCUGGUGUGUGGUGGAAAGCUUUUGCGGUGUGGGAUGGGCCCGCGGCCUAUCAGCUUGUUGGUGGGGUAAUGGCCUACCAAGGCGACGACGGGUAGCCGGCCUGAGAGGGUGACCGGCCACACUGGGACUGAGAUACGGCCCAGACUCCUACGGGAGGCAGCAGUGGGGAAUAUUGCACAAUGGGCGCAAGCCUGAUGCAGCGACGCCGCGUGAGGGAUGACGGCCUUCGGGUUGUAAACCUCUUUCAGCACAGACGAAGCGCAAGUGACGGUAUGUGCAGAAGAAGGACCGGCCAACUACGU